rnacentral:lncRNA from 1 species
UUCAACUUCUAUACCCAAAACAGUUAAGGAGGCUCUGAAUCACCCUAGUUGGCGUAGUGCCAUCUUGAGGAGAUAAAUUCUCUUGAUAAUAAUCAUACCUGGGAUCUAGUAGAUUUACACAAAGGAAAAAAUGUUGUGGGGUAGAAAUGGGUAUUUGUAGUCAAAGUGAAUCUAGAAUUCUCUGUGGCGAGACUUAAAGCUCGACUGAUAGCGAAAGCUUAUACUCAGACUUAUGGGGUAGACUAUU